rnacentral:rRNA from 1 species
UACGUAGGGUGCAAGCGUUAAUCGGAAUUACUGGGCGUAAAGCGUGCGCAGGCGGUUCGUCAAGUCUUGUGUGAAAGCCCCGGGCUCAACCUGGGAAUGGCAUGGGAAACUGGCGAGCUGGAGUGCGGCAGAGGGGGGUGGAAUUCCGCGUGUAGCAGUGAAAUGCGUAGAGAUGCGGAGGAACACCGAUGGCGAAGGCAGCCCCCUGGGUCGACACUGACGCUCAGGCACGAAAGCGUGGGGAGCAAACAGG